rnacentral:rRNA from 1 species
UGCAGUCGAGCGAAGCUUUCGGGCUUAGCGGCGGACGGGUGAGUAACGCGUGGGAACGUGCCCUUUGGUACGGAAUAGUCCUGGGAAACUGGGUUUAAUACCGUAUAUUCUCUACGGAGGAAAGAUUUAUCGCCAAAGGAUCGGCCCGCGUUGGAUUAGGUAGUUGGUGGGGUAAUGGCCUACCAAGCCGACGAUCCAUAGCUGGUUUGAGAGGAUGAUCAGCCACACUGGGACUGAGACACGGCCCAGACUCCUACGGGAGGCAGCAGUGGGGAAUCUUAGACAAUGGGGGCAACCCUGAUCUAGCCAUGCCGCGUGAUCGAUGAAGGCCUUAGGGUUGUAAAGAUCUUUCGCUGGGGAAGAUAAUGACGGUACCCAGUAAAGAAGCCCCGGCUAACUCCGUGCCAGCAGCCGCGGUAAUACGGAGGGGGCUAGCGUUGUUCGGAAUUACUGGGCGUAAAGCGCGCGUAGGCGGAUUGGAAAGUUGGGGGUGAAAUCCCGGGGCUCAACCCCGGAACUGCCUCCAAAACUAUCAGUCUGGAGUUCGAGAGAGGUGAGUGGAAUUGCGAGUGUAGAGGUGAAAUUCGUAGAUAUUCGCAGGAACACCAGUGGCGAAGGCGGCUCACUGGCUCGAUACUGACGCUG